rnacentral:lncRNA from 1 species
GGCAGGGCCAGAGAGACACGCCAAGGAGCUACUUAUGCGUCUGGAGCCCUGUCCUGGGGAGCCGCUGAACAGAAUCUGCCUUUGUCCACACUUUACUUUACGCGGCUUAGAGAUGCUCACGGUUGCGGGAGGGAGAUCUGGUUGGCUGCAACUCUGUAAUCCCUCCCCAAGAAGAACAACAGCUGAACCUCAUCACGACCCUGUGUUUCGUGUGUCGAUUCUUGCAUUAGUGACGUGACAUUUAUUUGCUUGGUGAGCUUCUACCUGCAAGGUUAACAAGGUCAGUGCAUGUCAAAAGCAGUUAUUUUCAUUUGAGAUUUAUUUCCCUAUGGAUAGCCUUAAGAUAUUCAAGUUACUAAUGAGGGCAUUGAAGUUAGGGCUAAGUAUAUUAUUAGGAGAAACAUAACUACCUGGAGAAUAGCCAUGAUACAUAUUUCAGCCACAUCAAACCCCUUUUAGGAAGGCAGGAAGUGUAAGUAUAGGGGUGUGUGUGUGUGUGUGUGCACAUGUGUGUAUGAGAGAGAGAGAGAGAGAGAGAGAGAGAGAGAAAUUGGACUCCUGUGUGUAUUCGUGAACACAAAACCAAGGGUAUAUACUUUAUUUUUUUGAUGUUUUGGUCUUUCUCUAAGAGAGUUCUGUUGGUUUUUACCCUAUUCUAGCACUAAUUGUAAUCUGUCUAAAAUUAUAAGAUAAUUUUAUUCUUAUCCACCCGGUUUGAUCUAAAUAGGUCUGUCUACGUCACUAGACGGUACAACACUCCGAGGUGAAAGUGCCACUUGGGAAUAUGUAUAUCCCUCAUUUCACCCCUUCACAGCCUCCUUCUCUGUCUUUCGCAGUUUUGACUCACAUCUUGUAAACAUUCCAGCUUGAAACACUAUGAGUGGUGCUUCUCUAACUUCUGUGCACCCAGAGAGGAGGUCUCAGUUCUGUGGAGAUCCGGACUCAGGAGGUCUGGGGUGGGGUCCUGCUCCUUUCUCACAAAUGAGCUGGUCACACUGAUGCUGCUCAGCUGUGGGUCACGUUUGCAGGAGCAAAGGUCUGGAAUGUUUCCACUCUGGGCUCCUGAUUAGCUCAGAUCCAUUUCUACCAAGACAAUGAAAUCAUUCAUGAAAAAAAAAAAAAAGAGUGUAAUUGUUUGGGAUAAGAUUUGAAUUCAUUACGUUUGGGUGUUAAUAUGACUUAAAAAUAAUUCUACCAAGAUUCACAUGUGAUUGUCAGGGUACUUCCCUUCCAAACAAUGACCAACUAUUUUUCCAACAUGUAAACUCUGCUUUUAGAAUUGUCCACAGGAACUGGAAGAUGAGGAUGUGCUUGCUCAUUCACUCCUGUUACGAUUCAACAAUAAUAAAGAAGUGCCUAAAAUAUCCUAAGCACUGUAGUAAUGACUGUGGGGAGGCUGACAUCCUUAAGUGUGCUGGGAGGCCCAAGAGGGCACAAGUUGCAAGCAAACGAUUGUUUGAAUAAAUAAAUUAAAUAAAUAAAAACAUGUGUGCUUUGAGUGUGUCUUUUCUUAAAUCAAAUGAGAGCCACCGAGGCUUAAAUUUGGUAUCCAGUCUGAAAAUGCAGUUUCUGACCGAAAAUGUACGUCUAUCAAGUAAUGGAACUUAUUUUUCUUGAAUAUCUUAUAACUGAAUCAGCAUGAACUUAGAGCUAUGUUAGGAAUGGCAUUUAUGGAAUAUGUUCAUAGUGCCCCAAAAUAUCUUCUUUAAAAAAAUCUAUCCAUGAGUAGCAGUAUAAUUAUGGAUAAAUUAACUCCAUUACUUCUUACUUAGAUGUAUUUACCUAACAACCUAUGGAUUUGGAUGUAUGCAUGUCCGCACACACACAUAUCAUGUCUUAUAACAAAUGUAAUAAUACUUAAUUGUUCAUUGAGUAUAGUGCUGGUUUAUACAAAUAAAAGCCUAACCUUCAGUAAUUCCUAACCCACACCUCAUAUAUAGCUUAAAAGUGAGUAACCAUAUAAUUUACUAUCUAAAUCCAGAUACUUUGAGCGUGGAAAGCAGCACUAUUAAUAGUUACCCUGGGAUAAGAGGCAUAAAUGGGGACUAUUCUGGGGAAACCAGGACAAAGAUCAUCUAACAGAAAGGCAGAAAAAAAAACAAACCACUAAAUAAAAACAUUCUCUGGUCUUUCAGUUUUUCCGAAUUAAGUUCUUAAAACAUUGCAUUUUUUUCUGAGUGUAUUUGAUAAAGUUCUGUCUGUAUUUCAGGAAAAUGAUGCUGUUGGGGAAGUUCCUACUGUUUAUCGGUCCUAAGGAAUGAAUUUUGUCCCAAAUUAGGGGUACUGGGGCUUUCUGUAGGCAAAACUGGUAUUUUGGAAACAAUAAAAAGGCUUGAUAGGGU